rnacentral:rRNA from 1 species
CAGUCGCCACGGGAAUACAGAGGGUGCGAGCGUUAAUCGGAUUUACUGGGCGUAAAGCGUGCGUAGGCGGCUUCUUAAGUCGGAUGUGAAAUCCCUGAGCUUAACUUAGGAAUUGCAUUCGAUACUGGGAAGCUAGAGUAUGGGAGAGGAUGGUAGAAUUCCAGGUGUAGCGGUGAAAUGCGUAGAGAUCUGGAGGAAUACCGAUGGCGAAGGCAGCCAUCUGGCCUAAUACUGACGCUGAGGUACGAAAGCAUGGGGAGCAAACAGGAUUAGAGACCCCGGUAGUCCCUGUCUCUUAUAC